UACGUAGGGUGCAAGCGUUGUCCGGAAUUAUUGGGCGUAAAGAGCUCGUAGGCGGUCUGUCGCGUCGGCUGUGAAAACUUGGGGCUCAACCCCAAGCCUGCAGUCGAUACGGGCAGACUAGAGUGCGGUAGGGGAGACUGGAAUUCCUGGUGUAGCGGUGAAAUGCGCAGAUAUCAGGAGGAACACCGGUGGCGAAGGCGGGUCUCUGGGCCGUAACUGACGCUGAGGAGCGAAAGCGUGGGGGAGCGAACAGG
rnacentral:rRNA from 1 species